UACAAUGUUUUUUUAUUCUUCGUUUUAUUUGAAAUUUUUUUACGAUUAAUAUUUUUAUUCUUACUAGAUGAUAAAACAUGAAUAGUAUUUUAUGCUGAUUAAUUUUUUUUUAAAGUUUUUUUACAAAUUUUUCAAAUAAGACGAAUGAUCAAAUGUUGGACACGGAAAAACA
rnacentral:pre_miRNA from 1 species